rnacentral:rRNA from 1 species
GGGAGGGGAGCUACACAUGCAAGUCGAACGGUAACAGGAAGCAGCUUGCUGCUUUGCUGACGAGUGGCGGACGGGUGAGUAAUGUCUGGGAAACUGCCUGAUGGAGGGGGAUAACUACUGGAAACGGUAGCUAAUACCGCAUAACGUCGCAAGACCAAAGAGGGGGACCUUCGGGCCUCUUGCCAUCGGAUGUGCCCAGAUGGGAUUAGCUAGUAGGUGGGGUAACGGCUCACCUAGGCGACGAUCCCUAGCUGGUCUGAGAGGAUGACCAGCCACACUGGAACUGAGACACGGUCCAGACUCCUACGGGAGGCAGCAGUGGGGAAUAUUGCACAAUGGGCGCAAGCCUGAUGCAGCCAUGCCGCGUGUAUGAAGAAGGCCUUCGGGUUGUAAAGUACUUUCAGCGGGGAGGAAGGGAGUAAAGUUAAUACCUUUGCUCAUUGACGUUACCCGCAGAAGAAGCACCGGCUAACUCCGUGCCAGCAGCCGCGGUAAUACGGAGGGUGCAAGCGUUAAUCGGAAUUACUGGGCGUAAAGCGCACGCAGGCGGUUUGUUAAGUCAGAUGUGAAAUCCCCGGGCUCAACCUGGGAACUGCAUCUGAUACUGGCAAGCUUGAGUCUCGUAGAGGGGGGUAGAAUUCCAGGUGUAGCGGUGAAAUGCGUAGAGAUCUGGAGGAAUACCGGUGGCGAAGGCGGCCCCCUGGACGAAGACUGACGCUCAGGUGCGAAAGCGUGGGGAGCAAACAGGAUUAGAUACCCUGGUAGUCCACGCCGUAAACGAUGUCGACUUGGAGGUUGUGCCCUUGAGGCGUGGCUUCCGGAGCUAACGCGUUAAGUCGACCGCCUGGGGAGUACGGCCGCAAGGUUAAAACUCAAAUGAAUUGACGGGGGCCCGCACAAGCGGUGGAGCAUGUGGUUUAAUUCGAUGCAACGCGAAGAACCUUACCUGGUCUUGACAUCCACGGAAGUUUUCAGAGAUGAGAAUGUGCCUUCGGGAACCGUGAGACAGGUGCUGCAUGGCUGUCGUCAGCUCGUGUUGUGAAAUGUUGGGUUAAGUCCCGCAACGAGCGCAACCCUUAUCCUUUGUUGCCAGCGGUCCGGCCGGGAACUCAAGGAAACUGCCGUGAUAAACUGGAGAGAAAGGGGGGGAAGAACUCAAGUCAUCAUGGGCCCUUACAACAGGGCUACCCCGUGCUAAAUGGGCCAAACAAAAAAAACGACCUUCCCCAAACAACGGACCCCAAAAGGGGCCCAAACCCGGAAUGGAGUUGCACUCCCCCCUGAAUCGAACCCUUAAACUGGAAAAAGCCGGAUCCCCCCCCCUUUUUCCCCCCAAACAAAAAAGCGCGCGAAAAAAAAAAAAAAAAAUAAGUAC